AUGGCAAAGGCAGUUAUACAGACGGCAGGGUUUGCCGGCAAAGCCGAUGUCUGCCCUGGGACGGCAAAGAGCAGUACUGACAACAAAUCUCCAGUUUCCUAUAGUGAUGGAGAUGGACUAUGUCGACGUCCAAAAUCCAUCAACAAGGGUCCCAAGACAAUGUCGUCGGGAGAGGACAAAAAUUCACUAAGUCGAGCAGCGGCUGGCCCGAUCCGAUCGGGAGGAGGAGGAGGACGACGGCAGGGCUAUGGGAGUGGGGAAACGUCGGGGAAGCGGCAGAGUUCGGUGCCCGUUCCGAUCGGGAGGAGAAUGACGGCAGCAGGGCUCCGGGAGUCGGGGAAGCGGCGGAGGUCGACGCCAGGCGGGUCCGGUCGGGACCGGAUCCUGCAGAUCAAGGACGCGCGCCGGCACCGAGUAACUGUGUCGGCGGCGGAAGGGGAGGAGCGGCCAGGCGUGCGCAUGUCCACCCCGCCGAUGCUGCCCACCGUGCUCUUGGACCGGCUCCUGAACAGCCUCCUCGGGCUCGGAAUCUUCACCAUCUCCUCCUCCGUCGCUCUGUCUCUGUUCCUCUCCGCCUGCCUCCUGUGUGCGUGCGUGAGGAUGGAUGAUCGAUCACUGGAUGGAUAG
rnacentral:rRNA from 1 species